UUUCACAGAUUAUUUAAACAGCAGAAGUUCCAUAAACUGGAAUACUCUCUGGCAACAUUUUUAUCAGGCUAGAUAAAAGUGGUUGAAUAAUGUGUGAAAGUACACGAGCGGCGGACGGCUGGGUAACGCGUAGGAACGUACCCCAAAGUGAGGAAUAACCGCCCGAAAGGGUGGCUAAUGCCGCAUGUGGUCCACGGACUAAAGGAUUUAUCCGCUUUGGGAGCGGCCUGCGUAAGAUUAGCUAGUUGGUGAGGUAAUGGCUCACCAAGGCGACGAUCUUUAGCUGGUCUGAGAGGAUGAUCAGCCAGACUGGGACUGAGACACGGCCCAGACUCCUACGGGAGGCAGCAGUAGGGAAUUUUCCACAAUGGACGAAAGUCUGAUGGAGCAACGCCGCGUGCAGGAUGACGGCCUUCGGGUUGUAAACUGCUUUUAUGAGUGAAGAUUAUGACAGUAACUCAAGAAUAAGGGACGGCUAACUACGUGCCAGCAGCCGCGGUCAUACGUAGGUCCCAAGCGUUAUCCGGAAUUACUGGGCGUAAAGAGUUGCGUAGGUGGUAAUGCAAGCAGAAAGUGAAAUCGUACGGCUCAACCGUAUAUACAUCUUCUGAACUGCAUCACUUGAGGAUGAGAGAGGUUAUUGGAAUUGCUAGUGUAGGAGUGAAAUCCGUAGAUAUUAGCAGGAACACCGAUGGCGUAGGCAGAUAACUGGCUCAUUCCUGACACUGAGGCACGAAAGCGUGGGGAGCGAACGGGAUUAGAUACCCCGGUAGUCCACGCCGUAAACGAUGGAUGCUAGCUGUAUGU
rnacentral:rRNA from 1 species